UACGGGGGGGGCAAGCGUUGUUCGGAAUUACUGGGCGUAAAGGGCUCGUAGGUGGCCAACUAAGUCGGACGUGAAAUCCCUCAGCUUAACUGGGGAACUGCGUCCGAUACUGGAUGGCUUGAGUUUGGGAGAGGGAUGCGGAAUUCCAGGUGUAGCGGUGAAAUGCGUAGAUAUCUGGAGGAACACCGGUGGCGAAGGCGGCAUCCUGGACCAACACUGACACUGAGGUGCGAAAGCGUGGGGAGCAAACAGG
rnacentral:rRNA from 1 species